UAGGUGAGUUAUGGUGAAGGGUGGAGAGUUGUGUAGAUGAUGUGGUGUCUUUGGAUGAUGGCCCCCCAAAUUAUGGUGAAGGGUGGAUGUAUUGGGUGUAGUGGGUGGAUGUUUGGUAAUGAGUGGAUGUAAUGGGUGUAGUGGAUGAAUGUUUGGUAAUGAGUGGAUGAAAUGGGUGUAGUGGAUGAGUGUUUGGUAAUGAGUAGUGUUUGGUAAUAAGUGGAUGUAAUGGGUGUAGUGGGUGGAUGUUUGGUAAUGAGUGGAUGUAAUGGGUGUAGUGGGUUGUGGUAAUGAGUGGAUGUAAUGGGUGUAGUGGAUGAGUGUUUGGUAAUGAGUUGAUGUAAUGGGUGUAGUGGGUGGAUGUAAUGGGUGUAGUGGAUGAGUGUUUAGUAAUGAGUGGAUGUAAUGGGUGUAGUGGAUGGAUGUUUGGAGAAUGGAUGUGUUGGGUGAAAUGAGUGGAUGUAGUGGUAGGUGAAUGUGUUGGGUGAAAUGAGUGUGCUAAAAUGGUUAUUUAUAGGGAAAGGAUGAUGCACAAACUUCAAAUUUCGUCCAUUCCUUUUGCUCCAAGCGUAUACUAUCCAUUUCAUGCCCAAAAAUGCUCCAAAAUGCACUUCUUUGCCACAUUAACCCUUUGGACCUACAAACACACGAAAAUAGCUUAAAAUACUAAAAUAACUACUAACUAACAACAUAAAUGCCAAGAAACAAGCUAACUAAGUCACAUAAAUAUGCUCCUAUCAAAUUCCCCCACACUUAGCUUUUGCUAGUCCUCGAGCAAAACAAAACAAACAAAACAAAACAAAACAAAACACAACCUAGACCUUCCAACAAUUGCCUCAGGGAUUUUUAAUGAAACAUGACAUGUUAAAAAUCAUCAUUCCCACAGUUUUUUGUCAUCCUUACACUUGAGCACAUACUUAGAGUCACCACUUACUAGUUCACAAUUAACCAAUUAAAACGAUGUUUUGAAUGUUGUAACAUGCCUUAGAGAAUUACUCAAUUCCUUACAAGAUACUAUCUAUUUUCACACACAUUUUCUUACUACACACCCUACACUAGUUAUAUGUGAGAAGAUUGAUGUAAACAUGAAAACGAACACUCACAUAUAUGUAUAACAAAUAGGGCAAUUUUCUGGAGUUAUUCAGCAUGUUUAGAUAUGAUCUCAUGAAUGGAAUGCUACUACUUAGAUGCAAGAACCAGUGACACCAUACGCUCAAACCAAUUCCAAACUCCACAUAUUGAAACGCGUAACACUCAAGAUAAAGUUAAGGGUUGUAACGGGGUUUAAGGGUAAUGGCUAACAAAGAAAUGAUAAGGAUAACAAACGUUCUGAAAGCAAUAGCAAGCAAAAUAAUGAAAUAGACACUUGGAAUUCACUUAAUAAUGCAGAAAUUAACUUUUAAACACAAAGGGAAGAUUCAAGCAACACUUAGGGCCGAAUUCAAUGUUUUGGACCCUUUCUUCAACAAACAACACUUUAGAGCUCUUUUUUCACAUAUUUUUCAACUCUUUUUCACUCUUUUCACAACUUUUCUUCUUUUCAUUCUAUUUUCCACGAAUGUUUCUUUUUUUCUUUUUCUUUUCUACCCGUGCCUUAUUAAGGACUUUGGCACACACACACACACACAAGAAUCACUUCCCCCACACUUGUUUUUAUGCAAAAGUUCAACAAAAUGAAUUCCUUCUAAAUUAUGUUUUACUAUGCUUCAAGAACUAGGGUAUGGAUGGUCCUAAUCUAGGUUAGGUGAGGAUAGUGUGGGUUAACAAAGAACAUAGGCUACAAAAGGCUCAACGGGGUUAAACUUAAACACAUAAUGAAAUAGGGCACGUCAAUUUGGCUGUGGUGGUCACUACACAACUUCAUCUUGAAUAUGUGUUAUGCAAAUCAAUAGCAUGCUUUGAAUGAAAUAGGCAUGAGUUCUAGCAUUUGGAACUAAAUGAUGAAACGCCUUUUAAGUAGCAACCAAGCAAAGAAUAAUGAGAUCAUGCAACAACUUUAGAAAACAAUAGUGCACAGAUUAUUAACUCUCCAAAUAAACGUUUAAGCUCAAGUCUCACAAGGUUGUAGCGUUCAUUUGAGUUCCUUCCUUCAAGCAUGUUACAAAAAUUGAUUUUUUCCUUUAUGAUUGCAUGUGAAUUCAUAAAUUAUAACCACAACCAAGCAUACACCAAAGAGUAAAUCAAAUUUUCAUUCAUGUUUAUAACUCUUUUUAACAGUCAUGUAAUUAAAAACCAAAUCCUCAUAAUUGUGUUGGAAGGUACCCUUAGACACAAAUAAACAUACAAAAACAACUCUUUUUAGGUUUUUCAAAACAAUUUUUCAAAUUUUUAUGAGAUUUUCGGAUUUUUAUGUCAAAACACACUGAAACACUCCAAAAUAGCUUAAAAACACUUAAAAACAGCAAUGAACAACACUAGAAGUAAUGGGUGAUAAACUCCUACGAAUUUCAUGCAAAACAACUUGGUUACCCCCUCACACUUAAAUCAAACAUUGUCCUCAAUGUUUCAAGCAUAUACUCACACAAAAACAAGCAAAUAAACAAACAACAAAUAAACAUGACAAGUAUGGCAAAGUAAAAAUUAGACAGAGUAGAGUUUAAGAACGCAAAUCUGGUUUUGGAGAUAGAUGAUCUUGUUAUCUUUCCACAGCUUUAAUCUCGAACUGGUUUGGAAUUCUGAGCGAGGGAUAUGAGAGUUCCUUGGUUUCAAAUCAGACUCCUUCUGCCGGGUUGAUUUGAUUGUGCAGUCUACAUUCUUCUCUGCUUGUUUCUUUUGCACGGCAGGCAGGCACGAGGUAGAGGUGUUGGUUUGUUUCUUUCUUCAAUCUUUCCAAGUGCCCACCUCUUGCUUUCUUUCUCCUUGUCCCUAGUUGAGGAUGGAUUAGUACCUUGUCUCCACAUGCUUCGAGGUAUCAUUUUCACUUCCUUUAUCUGUUCCCCAAGCAGAUGUGGUAGACGAAAAGGAAGCAUAAGAUGUUGAAGAUGAGUACUCGAGAGCAGGGCUAGGUAAGUAAUCAGGAAGGGGUUCCAGGCAGUCGGUUUCAGAUCGGAAGAUUGAUACCAAGUGCUGGCUGAUUGCUCUCUUUCUCCUUGUCUCGCAGAUGAAAACAACAACAAGGAGAAUGACAGGGAGAAAGCAUGAUAUGAGAUACUCUUGCUUUCAACCUUCAUGAUAUGAAAUACUUUUGCUUUGGAUGAGUUGUUUGCAGAGGUACCCCAAGGAAUAAGGAACACUGAGUGACUCGAGAGGCUUCGUUGGGAAGGCAUUCUUGGAGAUGACGGAAGGUUAUGUAUGUCUGCUUUACUAUGGAGGGUGAAGGUCGACAUUUAUAGGAAAUAAUAACCGGUACUAUUCUUUCACUUUGCCGGCAACCGUUGGAUGAUUGAACAAUAAACUUCACGUGCUUUCUACUUCACCAGAAAUCUUCGACAGAUUACCUGUGAUUUUCGCAAAGCUGAGCGUGCAUGUGACAGAUGCUGACACGUCUGGAUAAAGCAGAUGCCUCUUCGAUAUCUGGAAUCGGCGCUUCGACAAACUGCCCGUGAUUUCCGCAAAGCUGAGCGUGCAUGUGAGAGAUGCUGACACGUCUGGUAAAGCAGAUGGCUUUGCGAUUUAUGAGCUUGCCUCUUCGAGUUCUGAGCUCCGUCGAGUCCAGAGGUUGCAUGUGACGAGUGCGGACAAAUCUGGAAUAGAGGAUGGCCCGUGGUUUCUGAGCAAGCCCAACUUUUGAGAAAGCUAGCGCCUCUUCGAUUUUUGAAUUGGCCUCUUUGAAUUCUGAGUUUGCCUCUUCGAUAUCUGAAAUCUCGUCGAGUGUUGAUUUUUAUAGAGGCACGCAGUUCAUUUCAAAGAACACUUGAAUUUGCACUUGUAUAAACUCCCUUCUUGCACUUCUAAUAUCUUGACUUGUCCAACCUCUUCUUUCUUCAACACCUUUGAAAAUGUCUAGCCCUUCCGACCGUCGUUUUGACUUGAACCUUGGUGAAGAGGUUGCCAUGCCUUCUCCAGACAACAUAUGGCGUUCAUCCUUCAUAUCCCUUAUCGGUCCUCUUACCGUUGGGGAUUCGGUGAUGAAGAAUGACAUGAUUGCUGCGGUUGUGGCCCGGAACCUUGUCACUCCCAAAGAUAACAGACUACUUGCCAAACGGUCUGAUGAGUUGGCUGUUAAGGAUUAUUUGGCUCUCAGUGUGUAGUGCGCAAGUUUCGUGCCUAAUAUGGCCCAACGCCUAUUUGCUCGAACCCGUCAAGUUGAAUCAUUGGCGGUUGAAGUGAUGAGUCUCAAGCAGGAGAUUAGAGGGCUUAAGCAUGAGAAUAAACAGUUGCACAGGGUCGCACAUAAUUAUGCUACAAACAUGAAGAGGAAGAUUGACCAGAUGCAGGAAUCUGAUGGUCAGAUUUUACUUGAUCAUCAGAGGUUUGUGGGUUUGUUCCAACAGCAUUUGUCAUCGUCUUCUAGGGCUGUACCACAUAAUGAAGUUCCAAAUGAUCAACCUCCGAUGCCUCAUCCUUCUGGGGUUCCGCCGACUGCUGAGGCUCCGCCGACUACUGAGACUUCUCCUAAGCAGCCUUUGUGAAGGCUCCCUCUUGUAUUUAUAUGCUUAAUGUUCUUUUCUUUUUUAUGAAUGUAAAAAUACCUUGCAUAACUGUCAGUGUUUCAAAAAUAAACCCACACCAAAAACAAUUAAACAAGCAACAAAUAAAAAUGACAAUCAUGGCAAAAUAAAACUACAGAAAAGGGAAGGUUUUGAGAAACGCAAAACUGAUUGUGGAGCAAUUCAAAAAUCUUCCUUAUUUGAAUACAUGGGUUGCCUCCCAAGAAGCGCUUGCUUUAACGUCUUCUAGCCGAACGAUACUUCCUUCUAAACUUGGAUAGGGCCCAUAGCAUGGAAUUGAUCCUUGAAUGGACGGUGAUACUUGACGUGAUCCGGCAAUGGUUUAAAUUCUAGGGUAGGUGCCUGAAUCAUCAAAAUCAACAAGUUAGUAUAUACUAAAAUCGAAGUUGGAAAAGAUGGCUUACUUGCUUGCUCCAACACAAACUCAAUUACGAACACCACAUCUUUGAAGGUUGCAGGGAUAUGGGACUUGGCUAGAUUUGGUGUUUUGAGAGUUAUGACUUGUCCUAUGUCAUAAAAUCCAACUUCUUUGGGAAGGUUUCGAAGAUGCCUUUCUCACAUUCUUCUUCCUUGGAUUGCAUGAUCCUGCAAGGAAUAAGGACAUUUGGUGAAACGGGGUCAAGACAAAUUGAAUUUAGGCUUACCUUGGUUGUAGUGGAUGGCAUAGAUGGCAUAUGGGGCUGUGGCAAGGGUGGUUCUUCCCUUGCCGUGGUCUUGUUACUCUCCUCCUCUUCGAGCAGCAGCUGUUCAUCCAUGUUUUGGCUUGGUUUGGAUGUCUUCGGUUCACCUCCAACCUCCAUAGCACUUCCCAAAGUGAUAGCAUCAUGGAUUUCAAAAUCUCCUUCAAAUUUUCAACAGUUGAGUUGCAGAAUUCACUUUGCUUUUGAAUUUGUGCUGUGAACUCCAUAAUUUGCCCAAAUUGCUUUUCCAAUUCGCCCGUCUUCUUGGCUUGAUUUUGCACCUUUUCGUUUCGGUUUUCUACAUCCUGGUUCAAAGAGGUGAGUAACUUAUUAAACAUAUCAUUAUCCAAAGAUGUACCUGAAUUGAAUUGGGCAGAUUGUUGUGGUGGAUGUGAUGGUUCAUAUGGCCAGUGAUAGAACUCCUCUUCUUACUGCCAAUAUCCAUCUUGUUGGAAUUGUUGCGGUUCUCCACACAUGUAAUCUGAAUAAUCUCUCCAAUUCGAAUUGUAAGCGUUGGAAAACAUGUUGUCCCCUGAUUGGCUAUGGCCUUGAUAACCCCAACCAUCUUCAUUCGCAGCGAAUUGAGAACAUUGACGAGUUGGAUAUCCUUGCCCAUAGGACACACCAUCUGUAAGGACACUUUGCAUUGUGGUCCUUUCGGCAUAUUGUGACAAUUGAGAAGUAAGUUUCGCCAAUUGAGCUUGAAUGGUAGCAAAAUCCAUGUCUUACUUCUCUAGUACUUGAAAUCAAGGAAACAAAACUAAAUCAAAUAUCAUAAGUAAAAAUAAAAGACACAAAUAGAAACAAAGUCAGUAACUAAAACAAAAAAAACAUGAAAAAGUAACAACGGGGGAUUAGCAAAGUUGCUAAUCCCCGGCAACGGCGCCAAAAUUUGAUGCGAUGAAAGUUAAGCACUCAAAUUAAACCCUCUUGUUGUCAAAUUGCAGUAAUAAUGCAAGUAGAGAUCGUUCUAAACCGGGGAUUAGAAGGGCUUGCUAAAACCUCUAAACUAACUUAAAAACAUAAAAACAAAGUUAAAAACAUUUGAAUAGACUUAAAGGACUCAAAACAGAUUCACAAGACUCAAAACAACUUUAAAACACUCAAAACUACCUAAAAACACAAACUAGGCAGUUUCUGACUCUAACACAACUUUGGACGAAAUUUGGGUUUUGACUUGACUCAAAACACUCUAAAACACAAACAAAACAGAUUUUAAACACUUUGAAACAAGAAAGUAAAAGGGGGAUUUUAGUUUUAAUGAAUUUGAAACAAAAAAACAAAUUAUAAAACUAGGCAGAUUGUAAAACGAAUUUAAGAAAUAAGAUGAUGGAUGGAUUAGUUAGAGAUCCAUUCUUCACACAUGACACACUUGUAUAUGAAUUGAUUUCCAAUUGCUUUUCAAUAAAUGAUGCUCAACACCCCAGAUUAACCGUGAUGUGCAAAUUAACCCUCAGAUUUUCCUUUACUCAUUGAAUUGGAUGAAUGCAUGCGACAACCCAAAUCAUUCUCUAAAAGUCCUCUAUAUGAAUGCAUAAUAGAGAUACAAUCAAAGAUCAUUACGUUCAAUGAAAAUCAUAAGUGUUGACGAGACAAUUAUAACUAUGAAUGCAUGAUACAAUUGCCAAGAAUUGAAUUAACGCGAUUGUGAUAAACAACCUUCACUACUCAUGAAUAUAAACUUGUAACGAUUAGGUGAAACUUAUUUAUAUCCUAGCAUCAAAUUCAUGCAUGAAAAAUAAGUAUGCAUCCUUAAUAAACAUACACAAAUCCGUUAUGAAUAAAAUAGAUAAUUGAAUUGCAAUCACAACUUAUCAAAUCACAAUUGGAAGAAAUCAAUUCAUAUUGCAAAUAUAUUCAUGGUUUUGAAUUCUCCUCUAGCCAAAAGAGGUUUAGUUCCUCAUACUUGCAAUUAAACAGAAACAAUUGAAAUUAAACAAUGAAAACCAAAGUAGAAUACACCUAGACUGCUCUAGCAAUCCAAAUUGAAUGACUAGCACAACUCCAAGCAAUCCUCCUUCCUUGCAAAUAUGCGGCACCAAGGUGUGAGUGGUGAAUGGAUGGUCUCUUGUGGUGGUGGAUGGAUAUAGGUGAGUUAUGGUGAAGGGUGGAGAGUUGUGUAGAUGAUGUGGUGUCUUUGGAUGAUGGCCCCCCAAAUUAUGGUGAAGGGUGGAUGUAUUUAUAGGCUAGGGAGAGGAGUGUAUGGAGUUGUAAUGAGUGUAUGUAAUGGGUGUAGUGGGUGAGUGUUGUGGUAAUGAGUGGAUGUAAUGGGUGUAGUGAAUGAGUGUUUGGUAAUGAGUUGAUGUAAUGGGUGUAGUGAAUGAGUGUUUGGUAAUGAGUAGUGUUUGGUAAUAAGUGGAUGUAAUGGGUGUAGUGGGUGGAUGUUUGGUAAUGAGUGGAUGUAAUGGGUGUAGUGGGUUGUGGUAAUGAGUGGAUGUAAUGGGUGUAGUGGAUGAGUGUUUGGUAAUGAGUGGAUGUAAUGGGUGUAGUGGAUAGAUGUUUGGAGAAUGGAUGUGUUUGGUGAAAUGAGUGGAUGUAGUGGUCGGUGAAUGUGUUGGGUGAAAUGAGUGUGCUAAAAUGGUUAUUUAUAAGAAGAGGAUGAUGCACAAACUUCAAAUUUCGUCAAUUCAUUUUGCUCCAAGCAUAUGCUAUCCAUUCCAUGCCCAAAAAUGCUCCAAAAUGCACUUCUUUGCCACAUUAACCUUUUGGACCUACAAACACACGAAAAUAACUUAAAAUACUAAAAUAACUACGAACUAACAACAUAAAUGCUAAGAAACAAGCUAACUAAGUCACAUAAAUAUGCUCCUAUCACCAACUUGUGAGCCUAAAAUCUUGAGAGAGAUAUAUCUCCUUAAUAGUGUUAGAAUUUAUUUUGCCACCUCCAUGACAUAGGUAAUGAGGAUUUUGUUAUUAGGAAUAAGGUUUUUAGAGGACGAAGGGCGUUAUUGUGUUAUGAGGAUUAAGGUUUUCAGAUGCCAUUUUACUAUGUUAUAUAACUGGAGAACCAGCAAAUGCACUAAGCAGUAGCCUCAUAGAUAAAUUAUAAACGACAUUAAUAUUAUCUACUAUUGUAACUUGUUUAUAUUAAUAAAUUAUGAACGAUAUUAAAAUUAUCUACUCUAAAAAGGUUGGAUUGUCUACUUUCUAAAAAAAAAAAAAUCCUUUUACGCUUCACCCCUCCCCCAACAUUCUUGGCUUCGCCAAUAAUAAUCAUCAUACCAAAAUCUAUUAAAUGUAACUAAUUUGACAAUAACAAAACAAAAACUGCAAUGUAAAGUCUAAAUUUGCAAACUGCGAUGCAACAGAAACUUCAAUCAUGUUCGACUUAGAGUUACUAAAAUUUCACUCAUUGUAAUUUUGUCACUCAAUUAUAAGGGUUCGAGAACCAUGGAUGGACUUGCCUUAUUUGACGUAAAAGGUCAAGAAAGAAUAAAGCCUAUUGACUAGUCCCAAAACUAAAAUCAAAUAAAACUUCAAACCAAAAGUGAGAAGGAAAUUGAAAGUCUUUGUUAGAAGAUUUUAUGUAGAUUGAAUAAAAUUGUCAAAGUCUCUUGGUCUCACCGUCCGUAGCCCAAGGUAAGUUUGCAAGGAUGAUUUAUUAAUGAUGAAUUGAAAUAAAAGACUGUUCGAAUUGCCAAAAUUUAUCAGGAAGAGGGCCCUACAAAAUUGGUAACAAAUUGUGUGUCAUCAGAUUCUAACCCUAUAUGUAUGUAUUUAAAAAGGGGAAUAAAAAUUUAAUUGCAAAAGAAUUGACACAGACCCGUGGCCAACAAACUUAACAAAACUAUCAUACUUAAAUCUAUUGAAUGUAACUAUUUUGACAAUAACAAAACAAAAACUGCAACGUAAAAUCUGAAUCUACAAACUGCCAUGCAACAAAAACUCCAAUCAUGUUCGACUUAGGGUUUCUAGUAUUUCACUCGUUAAGGACAGAAGGGCAUUUUUGUCACUCAAUUAUAAUGGUUUGAGAACAAUGGACUUGUCUUAUAGAUGUAAAGAUUAAAAUAACAAUGUACUUCGGUGUAGUGGUAUUCCUUUUUAUUUGAAAGUGAGAGGUCUUAGGUUCGAUUCUCUGGUAAAAUACCACCGAGGUUUUAAAAAAAAAAAAUUAGUGAUUUUGGCAAAUUUUUUUGGACCAAAAAGACAUAUUUUCUUUUUAUUUCAAUUUAUGCAUUCCUUCUUGAUUUUCAAGUGUUUUCAAUAAAUUAAAAGAGAAUUAGAAGUCAUAAAGAAAUAAGAAAUUAUAAAUAAAUAAAAAGAGAAAACAAAAGUGUAAAAAGCACCACGCGUAUAAGAAAAUGUCAAAUCCUAAAGCAUAAGUAAAACUUAAUUACAAAUUUAUACAGCUAAAAUUCAAUAAAGUUGUCGUCUUUCCACGACUCGAAAAUUGUGCUCAAUGAAAUAUCCACUUACCUAUUCAAGUUGGUCACCAGUUGCUCCUAAGUUGACGGUUCUCAACAAGGUGGCGGAAAGCGUGUGCUGAAAUUAGGCCUGGCAAUUCCUGACACGAUUCGAUAACCUGAUACAACAUGAAAUGAAAUUAACAGGUGUUCGGGUCGACACGAUAAUGAAACGGGUCGUUAUCGGGUA
rnacentral:lncRNA from 1 species